UACGUAGGGAGCGAGCGUUGUCCGGAAUCAUUGGGCGUAAAGCGCGUGUAGGCGGUUUGUUAAGUCCGCUGUGAAAGCCCUGGGCUCAACCUGGGAAUUGCAGUGGAUACUGGCAAGCUAGAGUGCGGUAGAGGAUGGUGGAAUUCCCGGUGUAGCGGUGAAAUGCGUAGAGAUCGGGAGGAACACCCGUGGCGAAGGCGGCCAGCUGGCGCUGACCUGACGCUGAGGCGCGAAGGCGUGGGGAGCGAACGGG
rnacentral:rRNA from 1 species